CCUCCAGGAAGCUGAGGCGAUUAGGGGCAGUCCUCCCACUGGACCGCUACUGAAAAGAGGAAUUGCUCCAUGAAACCAAAUGGACAGAAGGGAGAUUAUGUGGAGUCUUCUAUUCCUGAGAUCAAACAAGCAGAUGUCUGCAUUAUUCAUAUAGAACCAAACUUCCACCCGGUUUCAGAGAGAGAAGAGCAAACAGGAAGGAGGAAAUAGGAAAGGGGAGGGUCAUCUGGCCAAAGACUUAAGAACUUGUGUUCAAUGUGUCUGAAGAAUUGGGGAAUUCCAGG